rnacentral:rRNA from 1 species
CAGGGAAUCUUGCACAAUGGGCGAAAGCCUGAUGCAGCGACGCCGCGUGGGGGAUGAAGGCCCUAGGGUCGUAAACCCCUUUCAGCAGGGACGAAAAUGACGGUACCUGCAGAAGAAGCCCCGGCCAACUACGUGCCAGCAGCCGCGGUAAGACGUAGGGGGCGAGCGUUGUCCGGAUUUAUUGGGCGUAAAGAGCUCGUAGGCGGUUGCGUAAGUCGGAUGUGAAAACUCAGGGCUCAACCCUGAGACGCCAUCCGAUACUGCGCUGACUUGAAUCCAGUAGGGGAGUGCGGAAUUCCUGGUGUAGCGGUGAAAUGCGCAGAUAUCAGGAGGAACACCCAUGGCGAAGGCAGCACUCUGGGCUGGUAUUGACGCUGAGGAGCGAAAGCAUGGGUAGCGACAGGAUUAGAUACCCCAGUAGUCCCUG